rnacentral:rRNA from 1 species
AUUGAACGCUGGCGGCAGGCCUAACACAUGCAAGUCGAGCGAGCGGCGGACGGGUGAGUAAUGUCUGGGAAACUGCCUGAUGGAGGGGGAUAACUACUGGAAACGGUAGCUAAUACCGCAUACCAUCAGAUGUGCCCAGAUGGGAUUAGCUAGUAGGUGGGGUAACGGCUCACCUAGGCGACGAUCCCUAGCUGGUCUGAGAGGAUGACCAGCCACACUGGAACUGAGACACGGUCCGAACGCCUACGGGGGGCGGCGUUGGGGAAGUUUGCACAAGGGGCGCAAGCCUGAUGAAGCCAUGCCGCGUGGGGGAAGAAGGCCUUCGGGUUUUAAAGCACGUUCAGCGGGGAGGCGUUACCCGCAGAAGAAGCACCGGCUAACUCCGUGCCAGCAGCCGCGGUAAUAC